UGAAAGCAAAACGAAGCAUUGGUGGAUGCACCUGUGAAAGAGCGUCGUAGAGUUCAUCCGACCAGUGUUAUCUGAUAUCCUAUUUCUGCCGCUUGUCAGCGUGGGUCAGCUCUGCCAGGAACAAGAGUGGUGCAGCAUUAAUAGGAUUUGAUCACCACAGAACUUGAACAAGAGCGUUAUGACUGUGCGACGGAGAUCUUCCAUCAAUCGGUAGCAGCUGAGCGACAGCGGCAUCUCCGAGGGCGCAGCGUCAAGGGCAAUGUCGUGGCGAAGGUUUAUGCCGGGGUACGCUACGGUGAUCACCACUGGCUGGAUGGCGUUCAUCUACUGGGGCUGGCUCAAGAUCGCCCGGAACGACCUGUUCGUGCCUGUCGAGGAGAGGCAGCCCGUACCGCACGAAGUGCUGAUCAGCUUCCUAUCUAGGCAAUGGAACAGCUCCGAAUCGGCAACGCAGAGCGGCGACAAUGAGAAUAAAGAGCGGAAGGAAGCGUG